GGAUCUAUGAUGUAUUCCCCAGUCAAAACAUUCCUUGGAAAAUCUGAACAAAAUGAGUGAAAACUCACUACCGCUUCUGUCAUCGGGACUGAGGUCC